GUAGAGAUGGCUCAUCAGUUAAGAGCACUGACUUGUUCCAGAAGACCUGGGUUCAAUUCCCAGCACCUACA
rnacentral:tRNA from 1 species